CCUACGGGAGGCAGCAGUGAGGAAUAUUGGUCAAUGGACGAGAGUCUGAACCAGCCAAGUAGCGUGAAGGAUGACUGCCCUAUGGGUUGUAAACUUCUUUUAUAUGGGAAUAAAAUGUUCCACGUGUGGGAUUUUGUAUGUACCAUAUGAAUAAGGAUCGGCUAACUCCGUGCCAGCAGCCGCGGUAAUACGGAGGAUCCGAGCGUUAUCCGGAUUUAUUGGGUUUAAAGGGAGCGUAGGUGGAUUGUUAAGUCAGUUGUGAAAGUUUGCGGCUCAACCGUAAAAUUGCAGUUGAAACUGGGAGUCUUGAGUACAGUGGAGGUGGGCGGAAUUCGUGGUGUAGCGGUGAAAUGCUUAGAUAUCACGAAGAACUCCGAUUGCGAAGGCAGCUCACUGGACUGCAACUGACACUGAGGCUCGAAAGUGUGGGUAUCAAACAGGAUUAGAUACCCCAGUAGUC
rnacentral:rRNA from 1 species